rnacentral:rRNA from 1 species
CAGUAGCCACGGGAAUACGUAGGGUGCAAGCGUUAAUCGGAAUUACUGGGCGUAAAGCGUGCGCAGGCGGUUUGUUAAGACAGAUGUGAAAUCCCCGGGCUUAACCUGGGAACUGCAUUUGUGACUGGCAAGCUAGAGUAUGGCAGAGGGGGGUGGAAUUCCGCGUGUAGCAGUGAAAUGCGUAGAUAUGCGGAGGAACACCGAUGGCGAAGGCAGCCCCCUGGGCCAAUACUGACGCUCAUGCACGAAGGUGUGGGGAGCAAACGGGAUUAGAUACCCGCGUAGUCCCUGUCUCUUAUAC